rnacentral:rRNA from 1 species
UAAGACCUCGCGUUAAUGGAGUGGCCGAUAUCUGAUUAGCUAGUUGGUGAGGUAAAGGCUCACCAAGGCGACGAUCAGUAGCUGGUCUGAGAGGACGACCAGCCACACUGGAACUGAGACACGGUCCAGACUCCUACGGGAGGCAGCAGUGGGGAAUUUUGGACAAUGGGCGCAAGCCUGAUCCAGCCAUUCCGCGUGAGUGAAGAAGGCCUUCGGGUUGUAAAGCUCUUUCGCAAGGGAAGAAAACUUACUCACUAACACUGGGUGAGGCUGACGGUACCUUGAUAAGAAGCACCGGCUAACUACGUGCCAGCAGCCGCGGUAAUACGUAGGGUGCGAGCGUUAAUCGGAAUUACUGGGCGUAAAGCGUGCGCAGGCGGUUUUGUAAGUCAGAUGUGAAAGCCCCGGGCUCAACCUGGGAACUG